CUACGAAGGGGGCAAGCGUUGUUAGGAAUAACUGGGCGUAAAGCGCACGUAGGCGGAAUGUUAAGUUAGAGGUGAAAUCCCAGGGCUCAACCGUGGAACGGACUUUAAUACUGGCAAUCUAGAGACCGAGAGAGGUGAGUGGAAUUCCGAGUGUAGAGGUGAAAUUCGUAGAUAUUCGGAGGAACACCAGUGGCGAAGGCGGCUCACUGGCUCGGUACUGACGCUGAGGUGCGAAAGCGUGGGGAGCAAACAGGAUUAGAAACCCUAGUAGUCC
rnacentral:rRNA from 1 species